rnacentral:piRNA from 1 species
UGAACAUUGACAGUCAAGACUGCUGGC